CUCUAAAUGACGGCCUGUGUUUGAUUUAGCAACACUUUGAGCCCGUUACAAAUACUAAUGUCCUCCUGCACCAGCUUAAUAAGCUUUACUGUGGAGGAUAGGCAACCCAGUCUCCAUUGUCCCUGCAGCCCUUCGUAUUUAUAGCCACAAACUUUUGAAUUGGCAGAGCCAAGAGAAACGGCACCGUUGUGACUCUGUGAGGGGUGAACGACAGGGCCCAGAAACCUUUGAGGGAAGGAACGUCUUUCAUAGCUGUAGCCUGUACACAGCCUACCACAUGUUCUCUUUGAGGGCAGGAAUUCUCUACAGAAUCAGCUUCUUUGUGUGUUUGCCUGAGUAACUGCUUGGAAAAAUAAGGCAGAUUUUCAAAGACAUAAUCAACAAUUCCAUACAACAUAAAGGGUGAAGAUGGAUUGUCUCUGUAUCAUCUGGGGAAUAAUUUGGUUCAUCAUACUGUACUUUAUUGGAUGGCCCAUAAGCAUAUUCUUAGGAGGACUGUAUGGAUUUAUAGUUCCUUUAACUACUUUGAUAGGUCUAGAUGAUGUUGGGGAAGUUUUGUUGAAGGGGGUGCAUGUGGGGAAAGUGUGUGCUUCUAAUGUACGCAGUGGAAAACCUCUCUGUUAACAACGAGACUACCAUAAUUACACAGCAUGUAUUGUUGUCCAGUGGCAAUGAGGUUUUAUAUGAAUAUUUGGUUUUCAUCCGUAAAGUAUAAAGUUCCCAAAUUGUAUUUGAAACGCAAUUCCUAUGUAUGUUGCAUUUGUGUGUAAUGCACUGCAAGUGGAGAGAUCUGAAUCAGAACCUCAGAUUCUCAAACUGUGAAUGUUCAGAAACUUGGAUGCAAACAGCUUGCAAAUAUCUAAUCAGAAAGAGGGAGAGUUAUGAGAUUUGUAUUUCUCUGGUUUUGUGUUUUUUGCUUCGUGCCAUAAAUUAUCUACGGUUUAAAACUGAGUCUCUCACUAAAGUGAAUUUUGCAUCUCUGUAUACAGUUAAUAAUGUAUAAAUCAAUCUGUAUUAAUUGUUGUUUAUUAUACUUGAUUGUGAAUAUGCUUUAGAAACCAUUGUUUUUGUUUCGGUUCUCUAUAAUGUAAUUAUUUAGGUAUGUUAACACCAUAAGACAUAAUAAAGCUACCUGAACUUUC